AGGUCCUCAAUAAGUAUUUGUUGAAAGAAUAAAUGAACCAACAAGUCUUAGUUGAGCACCUGUUAUG
rfam:Myotis brandtii contig285379, whole genome shotgun sequence.